UACGUAGGGGGCAAGCGUUGUCCGGAAUCAUUGAGCGUAAAGCGCGUGUAGGCGGCUUCGUAAGUCCGUUGUGAAAGUCCAGGGCUCAACCCUGGAAUGCCGAUGGAUACUGCGGAGCUAGAGUCCGGAAGAGGCGAGUGGAAUUCCUGGUGUAGCGGUGAAAUGCGCAGAUAUCAGGAGGAACACCAAUGGCGAAGGCGGCUCACUGGCCCGGUACUGACGCUGAAAUACGAAAGCGUGGGGAGCAAACAGG
rnacentral:rRNA from 1 species